AUUGAACGCUGGCGGCAGGCCUAACACAUGCAAGUCGAACGAGGAGCGGACGGGUGAGUAAUGUCUGGUAAACUGCCCGAUGGAGGGGGAUAACUACUGGAAACGGUAGCUAAUACCGCAUACCAUCGGAUGUGCCCAGAGGGGAUUAGCUUGUAGGUGGGGUAACGGCUCACCUAGGCGACGAUCCCUAGCUGGACUGAGAGGAUGACCAGCCACACUGGGACUGAGACACGGUCCAGACUCCUACGGGAGGCAGCAGUGGGGAAUAUUUGACAAUGGGCGAAAGUCUGAUGCAGCCAUGCCGCGUGUAUGAAGAAGGUUUUCGGUUUGUAAAGUCCUGUUAUUGGGGAGGCGGUAUCUGCAGAAGAAGCACCGGCUAACUACGUGCCAGCAGCCGCGGUAAUUC
rnacentral:rRNA from 1 species